UACGUAGGGGGCGAGCGUUGUCCGGAUUUAUUGGGCGUAAAGAGCUCGUAGGCGGUUCGGUAAGUCGGGUGUGAAAACUUUGGGCUCAACCCAAAGCCUGCACUCGAUACUGCUGUGACUUGAGUCCGGUAGGGGAGUGGGGAAUUCCUGGUGUAGCGGUGGAAUGCGCAGAUAUCAGGAGGAACACCGGUGGCGAAGGCGCCACUCUGGGCCGGUACUGACGCUGAGGAGCGAAAGCGUGGGGAGCGAACAGG
rnacentral:rRNA from 1 species